UGGGGAAUAUUGCACAAUGGGCGCAAGCCUGAUGCAGCAACGCCGCGUGAGGGACGACGGCCUUCGGGUUGUAAACCUCUUUUAGUAGGGAAGAAGCGAAAGUGACGGUACCUGCAGAAAAAGCACCGGCUAACUACGUGCCAGCAGCCGCGGUAAUACGUAGGGUGCGAGCGUUGUCCGGAAUUAUUGGGCGUAAAGAGCUCGUAGGCGGUCUGUCGCGUCUGCUGUGAAAACCCGAGGCUCAACCUCGGGCCUGCAGUGGGUACGGGCAGACUAGAGUGCGGUAGGGGAGAAUGGAAUUCCUGGUGUAGCGGUGGAAUGCGCAGAUAUCAGGAGGAACACCGAUGGCGAAGGCAGUUCUCUGGGCCGUAACUGACGCUGAGGAGCGAAAGCGUGAGGAGCGAACAGGAUUAGAUACCCUGGUAGUCCACGCCGUAAACGUUGGGCGCUAGAUGUGGGGACCAUUCCACGGUUUCCGUGUCGCAGCUAACGCAUUAAGCGCCCCGCCUGGGGAGUACGGCCGCAAGGCUAAAACUCAAAGGAA
rnacentral:rRNA from 1 species